CAUUAAAUGACUGAAAGUAAGUAACGGUCUCUUAAACCGCAAUAUAAUAUUUUAACAACUAUUUUUAAUGA
rnacentral:tRNA from 1 species